rnacentral:lncRNA from 1 species
AUUGUUUCUUUUUAUAGGACAAGGGAUUGAAGCUGUGAAAUCCAGUCAAAUUCAGGUGGCCAAAGUGGCCUGAAACAUCACCAUUUGGGACAGAUUACAGGCACCUUCUGAAAGUGAAAUUUAUACACACUCUCUUACUAGUAUACAAGCAUCUUCAGUGAGAACCUCAACAUGUGGCUGAUUUUUCUUCCCAACACAGACAUCUGAGGACAAAGCACUGGGCAAUGGAGACCACACAGGUGGGUGAGCAACCCAUAAUAGUAAAUAGUAAGAAGAGAACGAUGUGGUCAGACAGUGCCUCUGCCUGCACUUGGACAUCUUCUCUAAACCUUGUGGUGAAUGUAAAGAUCUGUCUUA